AGGAUUAACGCUGGCGGCGUGCCUAACACAUGCAAGUCGAACGAGGUAGCAAUACCUAGUGGCAGACGGGUGAGUAACGCGUGGUCAACCUACCGUUGAGUGGGGGAUAACUAGACGAAAGGUUAGCUAAUACCGCAUACGUCUCCGAGGGGCAUCCCUUGGCGAUAAAAGGAGCAAUCCGCUCGAUGACGGGACCGCGUCCCAUUAGCUAGAUGGUGGGGUAACGGCCUACCAUGGCACCGAUGGGUAGCUGGUUUGAGAGAGCGACCAGCCACACUGGGACUGAGAAACGGCCCAGACUCCUACGGGAGGCAGCAGUGAGGAAUUUUCCGCAAUGGGCGCAAGCCUGACGGAGCGACGCCGCGUGUGGGAAGAAGGCCUUCGGGUCGUAAACCGACUGUCGAAGGGGACGAUAAUGGACGGUACCGUUGGAGGAACGCCCCGGCUAACUACGCGCCAGCAGCCGC
rnacentral:rRNA from 1 species